UAGGUCUCAGAAGUCCUUAGUUUCCCUGCCUCUGGGCCCUGUUCUCCGGCAAAUCCAGGAUCGUCUUCCUAUCUCAAGAUGUUUAAUUUAAUCACAGCUGCAAAGUCCCGUUUGCUUUGAGAGGUGAUGUAUUCACAGGUUCUGGGGAUUCGAACCUGGAUAUCUUUGGGGGCCAUUAUUCUGCUGAUCACAAGUACUUUUGUUUUGCCUGGAUUUUUGUGAGUACUUUAACUCAUGGGCAGAGAAGUAACAGUCAAAGAGCAU
rnacentral:lncRNA from 1 species